rnacentral:rRNA from 1 species
AUUGAACGCUGGCGGCAUGCCUUACACAUGCAAGUCGAACGGCAGCACGGGAGCUUGCUCCUGGUGGCGAGUGGCGAACGGGUGAGUAAUGCAUCGGAACGUGCCCUGAAGUGGGGGAUAACGUAGCGAAAGUUACGCUAAUACCGCAUAUUCUGUGAGCAGGAAAGCAGGGGAUCUUCGGACCUUGCGCUUUUGGAGCGGCCGAUGUCGGAUUAGCUAGUUGGUGGGGUAAAGGCCCACCAAGGCGACGAUCCGUAGCGGGUCUGAGAGGAUGAUCCGCCACACUGGAACUGAGACACGGUCCAGACUCCUACGGGAGGCAGCAGUGGGGAAUUUUGCACAAUGGGCGCAAGCCUGAUGCAGCGACGCCGCGUGAGGGAUGACGGCCU